CAUGCUGUCCCUGUGUGGCAUGUUCAUGCCCAUGCCACCUCAUGACUCCAAAUAGGAUGACAAGCAAUGAAGGGGGGCAGAAGAGGGCAUUGGAGAAGAGCAAGGCUCUCUUUCUUCGGAAAAGAUACCCCUCCACUGAGGAGAAGUCAGAGCUGUUGGUGAGGGGGCUUCAGAUGAAGACGGUGAACAAAUGGUUCAUUAAUUACCGAUACACCAUGUUUCUUGAACUGCGGAGGCGGGCAGCAAAGAAAAUCAAAAUGGAGAGCACUGAGGCUGAUGUGGAG